AUGGAGUGGUCUGGGCAAUGCAUCGUUUUUGUUAUUUACCAUUCAAACUGCCUGAGGAUGCAGAGAGACGUAUCAGGAAUGAUCGAAAGAGAACCAAGGGCAUGUCACUUCUCCAGAUCCUCAGGAGGAUUCUUGACCACGGAGCCACCAGAGAAGCUGGAAACGCCUGUAGCUAAGGGCUAUCUUUUCUCUGACAUCUAUGUUCUCACCUGAUUUUCUGAAUAUCACCAGAUGGGGCAUAAUCAUAAUGAUGAACAUUUAUGAAGAACAUAUUCUGGAGACAAUGUAUCAUUCAUGAUUACUUCUUUCAAUUCUCAUUGACUGUUAUUAUACCCAUUGUGCAGAUAAGGAAACUGAAGCCACAAAAACUAAAUAGAAGCUAGAGAAAUGCUCUGGACUAGCCAUAAGACUCUAGAGGAUUGUGCUGCCUUAAUUGCCCUGACUUGAAUUGUAUAUCUUUGUACCUGAAGACAGGACUUGGCUUAGCUGCUUGGAAUCAAGAUAACCUGCUCCAUAUUAGACUU
rnacentral:lncRNA from 1 species